AACGAACGCUGGCGGCAUGCCUAACACAUGCAAGUCGAACGAGACCUUCGGGUCUAGUGGCGCACGGGUGCGUAACGCGUGGGAACCUGCCCUUAGGUUCGGAAUAACUCCCCGAAAGGGGUGCUAAUACCGGAUAAUGUCUUCGGACCAAAGAUUUAUCGCCUUUGGAUGGGCCCGCGUUGGAUUAGCCAGUUGGUAGGGUAAAAGCCUACCAAGGCGACGAUCCAUAGCUGGUCUGAGAGGAUGAUCAGCCACACUGGGACUGAGACACGGCCCAGACUCCUACGGGAGGCAGCAGUGGGGAAUAUUGGACAAUGGGCGAAAGCCUGAUCCAGCAAUGCCGCGUGAGUGAUGAAGGCCUUAGGGUUGUAAAGCUCUUUUACCCGGGAUGAUAAUGACAGUACCGGGAGAAUAAGCACCGGCUAACUCCGUG
rnacentral:rRNA from 1 species